rnacentral:rRNA from 1 species
GUCCCGACGGUAAACGAUGGGCACUAGGUGUCGGAGGUAUCGACCCCUCCGGUGCCGCAGUUAACACAUUAAGUGCCCCGCCUGGGGAGUACGACCGCAAGGUUGAAACUCAAAGGAAUUUACGGGGGCCCGCACAAGCGGUGGAGUAUGUGGUUUAAUUCGACGCAACGCGAAGAACCUUACCUGGGCUUGACAUGUAACGGACAUGGUUAGAGAUAACCACUCGUCUUCGUACGUCGUUGCACAGGUGCUGCAUGGCUGUCGU